GGGAAUAUUGCGCAAUGGGGGCAACCCUGACGCAGCCAUGCCGCGUGAAUGAAGAAGGCCUUCGGGUUGUAAAGUUCUUUCGGUAGCGAGGAAGGCAUUUAGUUUAAUAGACUAGGUGAUUGACGUUAACUACAGAAGAAGCACCGGCUAACUCCGUGCCAGCAGCCGCGGUAAUACGGAGGGUGCGAGCGUUAAUCGGAAUAACUGGGCGUAAAGGGCACGCAGGCGGUGACUUAAGUGAGGUGUGAAAGCCCCGGGCUUAACCUGGGAAUUGCAUUUCAUACUGGGUCGCUAGAGUACUUUAGGGAGGGGUAGAAUUCCACGUGUAGCAGUGAAAUGCGUAGAGAUGUGGAGGAAUACCGAAGGCGAAGGCAGCCCCUUGGGAAUGUACUGACGCUCAUGUGCGAAAGCGUGGGGAGCAAACAG
rnacentral:rRNA from 1 species